rnacentral:rRNA from 1 species
ACACUCCUGCGGGAGGCAGCAGUGGGGAAUAUUGCACAAUGGGCGGAAGCCUGAUGCAGCAACGCCGCGUGCGGGAUGACGGCCUUCGGGUUGUAAACCGCUUUCGCCUGUGACGAAGCGUGAGUGACGGUAAUGGGUAAAGAAGCACCGGCUAACUACGUGCCAGCAGCCGCGGUGAUACGUAGGGUGCGAGCGUUGUCCGGAUUUAUUGGGCGUAAAGGGCUCGUAGGUGGUUGAUCGCGUCGGAAGUGUAAUCUUGGGGCUUAACCCUGAGCGUGCUUUCGAUACGGGUUGACUUGAGGAAGGUAGGGGAGAAUGGAAUUCCUGGUGGAGCGGUGGAAUGCGCAGAUAUCAGGAGGAACACCAGUGGCGAAGGCGGUUCUCUGGGCCUUUCCUGACGCUGAGGAGCGAAAGCGUGGGGAGCGAACAGGCUUAGAAACCCUAGUAGUCCCAU